AUACAGAGGGUGCAAACGUUGUUCGGAAUUACUGGGCAUAAAGCGCGCGUAGGCGGCCUGUUAAGUGUGAAGUGAAAUCCCACGGCUUACCCGUGGAACUGCUUUGCAUACUGGCAGGCUCGAGGACGGUAGGGGAGAGCGGAACUCUUGGUGGAGCGGUGAAAUGCGUAGAUAUCAAGGGGAACACCGAUGGCGAAGGCAGCUCUCUGGUCCGUUUCUGACGCUGAGGUGCGAAAGCCAGGGUAGCGAACGGGAUUAGAAACCCCAGUAGUCC
rnacentral:rRNA from 1 species